GCCGUAGCCGGGCGCUGAAGAUGGGCAGUCGGGUGGCGGACCCGAGCCAUCGGGACUUCACGCGGCCGGGACUCCGGACUGCGUCUUCCAAGGAGUGCGAACUCCAAAGGUUCGUGAGUUCGAGAGCAAGACCUGUAGAUCCCAGUGCAGGCAAAGCAACGGUAGUUGGGCUGUGGCCUCGAGUCUUGGAUCGAGUCGCCUCGUCAGGCGAAUCUUGGCUUCAUAGUGUGUCGCCGAGCAACCACCGUUCCCUCGUCGACACCAGCCAGACCCGUGAACUCCACCACUCAAGCCUCCGCGGUGAGACUGAGCUCGUAUUCUUGCCCGCUCCGCCGCUCAGCCGCGUCAGAACUGGACUGUGUAGUUUAGGUCUUUGAACGUGCGUUUUGUGUGCAGUUACGAAGGUUUUACCGUGUGCAGUGGACCUUUUGUUAAGUGUUAAAAACUCUCCGACGCUUUGUCUUAGAGAGCUGUCGAAAAACGAAAAAGAACUUGCAUCACAAAUUGGCGUCCGCGACAGGACAAAGCUGUUUGUUUUUCACCUUCAUUUCUUGAUGUGGUUGAAAUCAUGACGAACACACAGGAGCUAAUGGCGUUGGCGGAACGUAUCGGGAUUGAAGGAGUGGAGUUCAAAGCACGGCACGACGAGAAGGAGGCAAGAGCGCGAGAGGAACGGGCUGUGGAACGCGAAGCUAGGAAGGAAAAAGUUCGAACUGGAGACUGGUGAAUAGGACAAACAGCUCGAACAGGAGACACGAGCAAAGAAAGAGCAGCUGUAAAUGGAGACCCAGAACUUGCUGUUGCGCCUCAGACUCGCCGAAGCUGAGGGUAACCGUGUAGAGACAAGAACGGGGGACCGAGGGCAGGGAUGGAGUUCUCCAUGCAUUGUGAAUCCUCACAAUUUAAUACCGCGAUUUAAUGAAAGCCAGGAGGACUUGAACGCCUGCUUAAAGGGGUUCGAGAGAGACGCCACCGGUCAAGAAUGGCCUAGAGGCAAAUGGGCCACGGCUCUAAGUAUGCUUGAGCGAAGGCCCCGGCCGGUGAAGUCCUGAAGGCUCCGGUCCGCCACCCGACUGCCCGUCUUCAGCGCCCGGCUACGGCCUUCUUGUCUCGUUCGCUUCGAACUGCCAACUCUCUUGUCCUCCAGGCUUUGCUCGACCUCAGGCACACUUGUUUCGUUCUGAUUGGCGUUGAGGAACUUCGCGGUGAUCAGCUAUUGGCUUCUGGUAGCUCCAUAUAAUUCCCGCAUUGGAUCUUCUUUGCUUUAUUAUUUUCAUUCUUGCACCCCGCGCUCUCACGCGCGAUGGUGCUUAACGUCGUCGUUUUUGUUUAGGCAACCCCGCACGUGCCCUCAGUCUUCUUUUCACGUCGCGCAAUUUUCAAACGCGCACUUAACGCGCACUACUGUCAUCACAGAUGUAUUGUUGUCCACAUUAGUAAGUGUCGUUAUUCGGCGAGUCGUUUCAAGAAAUCCAUCCGUGUCAGAAAAAAAAUUUUCUUCGAUGUCGGAGGCAUAGUUUUCACUAUAGGGUAGAAUGUGAACGUUAGGCACAUUGUGUGCGCGCUUCACAGCAUCCGGUAUGUGCGGCGCUAUAGCGACGCAUCAGUGUCUUUGUGUCAGUGCACUGAACCAAUGACGUACAAAAAAAACUCCAGGAAGAAGUACAAAACAUACGUACAUGACGAAAAGAAGACGUGAACGAAAGAAUGUGGAAUGUGAAAUAAAGGUCUACACGAAUUUAUAGCCAUCGUGGGGCAUUGUGCACUGAGGUAUGUACUAUAUAUAUACACGCAAAAAUAAGCACUAAAAUGCAUAUACACGUCAAUAAAAUAAACGUCGACUGGUGCAGCUUAAGAGAAGAAAUUAGGCGUAAGAGCCUAAACAAUGUGAAUUUCGGAAACGAACGACGAUGACAAUCAUAACUGGGAGGAAAGAGUGGCAAGGAAAAAGAAGACAAACCGCCAAGGAAGACUUUUGAUAAAUACAAAUAAACAAGCAACUGCAGUGCACACGAGGGAUGGAUCAACAAGAAUUUGUAAACAAUGACCUGUCUGAUGUGAUUUGAAGCCGAUACAGUGCGAUCUUUAUUGCGCUAUGAUAUCAAUAUAAUAUCUCAACACCUUUGUAAGAGCCGGUGGAGUUGGGGAGGAGCCGGGGUAGUAAAUAAAGCAAUGGAAACCAACAAAGAGAAGAGGUCGAGUCCACGAAAGAUCGAAAAAAGAUAACAAUUAACGCCGAACGCUUGCCUCGGUAUCCGUGGAAACGAUGUGCGGUUCGGAGUGCUGUGCUCGCUGGAUUAUCAUGAACCAGCAUUUCUGUGACCCAGUUUCCUUCGUGAACACGCAGGGCCUACUUUGAUUCCUG